GCCUUGUUGGCUAAGUGGUAUAGCGUCUCACUAGUAUCUAGUGUCAUGAGAAGAUCGGCGGUUCGAUUCCGCCACGAGGCA
rfam:Glomerella graminicola M1.001 genomic scaffold supercont1.49, whole genome shotgun sequence.